CGGGAAUUUUGGGCAAUGGGCGAAAGCCUGACCCAGCAACGCCGCGUGAGGGAUGAAGUAUUUCGGUAUGUAAACCUCGAAAGAAUGGGAAGAAUAAAUGACGGUACCAUUUAUAAGCUCCGGCUAACUACGUGCCAGCAGCCGCGGUAAUACGUAGGGAGCAAGCGUUGUUCGGAUUUACUGGGCGUAAAGGGCGCGUAGGCCGCGCGGUAAGUCACUUGUGAAAUCUCUGAGCUUAACUCAGAACGGCCAAGUGAUACUGCUGUGCUAGAGUGCGGAAGAGGCAACCGGAAUUCUUGGUGUAGCGGUGAAAUGCGUAGAUAUCAAGAGGAACACCUGAGGCGAAGGCGGGUUGCUGGGCCGACACUGACGCUGAUGCGCGAAAGCCAGGGGAGCAAACG
rnacentral:rRNA from 1 species